UACGAAGGGGGCUAGCGUUGCUCGGAAUCACUGGGCGUAAAGGGUGCGUAGGCGGGUCUUUAAGUCAGGGGUGAAAUCCUGGAGCUCAACUCCAGAAUUGCCUUCGAUACUGGCUUUCUAGAGGCUGGAAGAGGUUAGUGGAAUUCCCAGUGUAGAGGUGAAAUUCGUAGAUAUUGGGAAGAACACCAGUGGCGAAGGCGGCUAACUGGUCCAGAUCUGACGCUGAGGUGCGAAAGCGUGGGGAGCAAACAGG
rnacentral:rRNA from 1 species